UCUGAGCAGGCUUAAUGACGUAGCCUUUUUUUAACUCAUUUUGAUUGGGUGUGCGCGUGUGUGAGCUCAUCAUCUUGUUUUUCUGUGGUCCGUGAACUUGUGGAUUAACUUUUAUUUACUUAACACAAGACUCCCUUUCAGAAAAUAAAACGAUUCAAUCAUGUCGAAUCCUGAAGCUGGAAACUCAAAUGGUUUUCCUAAAUUACCGCCUCCACCAACGGACAGUACGCAGCCGUCCGGCGCCAACGGAUCCAACAAUGCCACCAACAAUCGAUUGAAGCAAACACAGGCGCAGGUUGACGAAGUGGUCGGAAUCAUGCGCGUGAACGUGGAAAAAGUAUUAGAACGGGACCAAAAACUUUCCGAAUUGGAUCAACGAGCCGAUGCACUACAGCACGGUGCAUCGCAAUUUGAACAGCAGGCCGGCAAACUGAAGAGAAAACAAUGGUGGGCCAACAUGAAAAUGAUGAUCAUCAUGGGCGUCAUUGGCGUAGUGCUGCUAAUAAUUAUCAUUCUGUCCAUCAUUUAUUAAUAAUGACAUUUUACACUUGCAUUAUUAUACAUACUCAAAUAAUCGUUCUUAAAUCACAUUGUAAGCAUUUGUUCCAAUGAAUAUUUUCAAAACAGAUUUGUGAUAUCUUCGUCACGUGCUAUCAUAGUUGCAAUAGCAAAUGAAUAAUUCCAGUACGUUCACACAUAUCUAGUACGGUUCUUAAUUGCUUCCCCAAUCGUCAUUAGUUGGAACAGACGUAAUUCAAAUGGAAAAAAAUAUGUAUAUGGAUAAAUCCACUAACAGCAUAUAUUCAUCAAGAAUGACGUUGGAAAUAUGGUACUGCUAUCAUGCUAUUAUGUUCACUUUUCAAAUGUAUAAGUAACGUUACAUUUUAUGUUGCAAUUGUCUUCUUAAGGAACUUAAGGAACUUUCUAUCCUAGAUAAAUAUAUCAAAUUAUAUUAUGUUUGUGUAUUCGUUAAUCACUAAAACAUACAUUCAUGUUGUUUUUAUUCUGGAGAAAUGUUCAAAACGCAUAAAUUGGUCAAACUUAUAUUCUCAGAUGACAAUCACGGAACACAUAAAAAUGUAAUACCGACUGCUUACAUGCGGAUUUAAACUUUUGGCUAAGCUUGGUGUUAAUAGUGUUUGUUUUGUGUUGUCCAUGCCCAUGUUGUCCCAAUGGAAAGUAUUUAAAAUGGAAUUUAUGUUAUGUAAAGGCGCCUUUUUUUAAAUAUUAUGUUACACUUGGUGGAAAUUUGAAAUUGGAAGUCUAGUUCUACGGAUCGAAGUAAAUAAAAAUUUAUCGGAGGUAAAAUCAAUUUCACCCAUUCAUCCAUUGGUCAUCUUCGACAAGUAAAGGGGUUGUGAAUAUGUAAAUAUAUUGUACAAUGGACUGUUUUUACGGACAAGUUUGGAUUGUUCCGGGUGGUGGAUCUUCCAGUUCUCCUUCGAUUGAAUCAACCACAACGGUUAAGCCAGAAAUAACCGACACACCACAGCAAUGAUAGCCCCCAAACAUGUUUUAAGUAUAGAUUUUGAGUUGAAACCCCAAACAUGUUCGUUGAAAGCAAUAACAUUUAUAAAAGGGAAACAUAUAUUUUUAUACGAGCUUAUUAUUGAAUAAUCAUAUCUAUAUUAUUGUGGAAAGCAAGCUCAUUAUCUGCUGUAGAACAGCAACAUUAUUCUCCUGCAACGUUUUUCUAUCCGUCUGAAUGUUAUUUUCUUUGUGUAUGAAUAUUGUUAUUUCAUUGAUAACUUAACACUAAAUAUGUAUUGAAUAUGGAAAAGGUAAAACAAACCAAGGAAGGCAAAUAACGGAUAAACGAAGAAUA